GGGCACUGCUCGUGACCUGUUAAUCUGGCUGUGGCUAACGGGCUCCAUUCCAGUGCUACAUCACUUCCAAGGGCACGUGACUGACUGACCAGUGGCUCUCAGUUUCAGGUCUUGGAAACAAAG